CUAUUUUCUUCGAAGAAGAUGGAUACAAAUUUUUACUGAUUUACUGCUCGGAAAUAUAUCAAAGCAAGCUAUAAUUUUCUAUGCAAGAAAUCCAGGGUAUGUAGUUCUUUUCCUCGUAUCAAAAGCUUGGUAUUUAAUUUUAUAAAAUGGUAAAUUAUAUUCCCCCGUUUGUAUGAAAUACGCAACGUAACAUUGCGACAAAGUUACAAAUUAAUUAUAGUUGACCAACUUGAACAUUUGCACCACUGUGAACUGUGAAGUACGCAUGGCAUUCAAUAUGGCAUUCCUAUUGUUUGGGAUAAACAUUGUGAAAAUUUUGUGAAGACCAAAGACAUAAAUUAAGAGAGGUUUCGUUGUUGGGAAUAGUAAAUUAAUAUUCAAAAAUUGAUCAAAAUUGUACACUUUGAUGAUAUAUACAGGUUUAUAAUACAGGUACAUACUAUUGAUCUGUAACUAUUUAAUCAAUAUAUGGUAGUGAUAAGUGAUGUACCAAAUGAUAUGGAAAUUUACUGAUAUUCCAAUAAACAAUAUUCAGGGGCUGAUAUAUUGGCCACUACCAAUAGCCAACAUUCUAUUUCACUACAAAAUGAUCGUUGGAAAAUUCAUCAUAACUAUGAAUUGAGAGUGGCCAAUCAUGUGUCAGUAUCCAUGCACCCUUAUGCACCCGUCUUUAUUAUUUUACUCCAUUUAAUGCUGGACGAUUUUAUUUGUCAAGGGGAUAGUGCUGCCACUCAAUGGUUUAACUUCACGAUGAAGGGCCUUCGCUCAAAGCAUUGAAGUUCUCCUUGUAUUAUCAGGUAGUUAUUAAUCUGCAGCUUUCUUAUUAUUGCCACUACCUACACUAGCACAGAUACAGAUCUAACCAGAAGCAGCUGUGAAAAUUGCAACUAUUAAGGCCCUCUUGCAGGAAUUGAACCGGUGCAGCUGCCUGUGUGUUGUUGAGUUAUUGUUGUACCGUGUAUGGUAUACUAAGGGGGAAACGACAAAACGUGAACCCCAGGUCUGUGGAAUAUGUUUGUGGACCUGGUCCGUGGAACUUGUGGACCACUCUCACAGACCACUCUCGUGGACCACUUGUGAAACACUGGAUUGUGCCGACCAUCAACAGAGCAGUAAUACAUGUAUAAAAUGAAUAUGACUUUUCAUAACAAUACAAGCAACCUUCAGUAAUAACUGCUCAAAACGUAUUGGCAUUUAACAUGGAGUAGAGAGAAAAAGCGUUAUUUUUCAAUAUAAUGCGAUAACUUGUAUUUGCGUGGGAUUAUUUUACGGUUAGACAUUCGAAUGAAGGCUGCCCAGUCAGAGGUUUACAGUUGUACAGUUUGCAUUUACAUAAAUGUCAAUGUGUGUGUGUGAUAGGUGAAGACAUUGCAUAACUGAAGCUGGUGGUUUGAACUCUUGACUGUGCAUGAAAAAAUGUGCUUGAUCGAAUCGAGUCGUUAACUCGUUAUUAUUAUCAUUCUGGAAACUCUACACAAAAUGUGAAGUUCUAAAUUCAUUCUAAAAUACAAGUUUACAGUUUUACGACUUCACUGCAAAGUUUCCGAAUAUAUGCCCUUAAAAUUGGUAGUUUUUUUUUCAUUUUGAGUGUUACAAAAAUGCAAGAAAAGCAGUAAGGCAUAAAAAAAAUAUGUGUGGUUCCGGUUUCAUAUCGUGAAAAAAUUAGGGUCGGUUGGUCGGAAAUACAUUUUUUAAAAAAAUAUUUUUGUCAUGGUUUUGGCAGUUUUUUGCUGGGCGAUUUGCAGUAGAGUUCCGACAUCAAUAUUAACUAGAGAUGCGUAUUUCCUAUGGACGAAUUUAGGCAAUUUGAUUCAAUAAUUAGUGAGACAACAGACGCCAUUUUGGCACGCUGUAUGAGCAGCCCGCAACCACCUGGAGAAAAUAGGGUCGCACAGUCAAUCGUGUCGAAAAAAUAAUAGGGUCGGCAGAAAAAAAUAGGGUCGGUCAGGAAUCGGAACCACAGGUAUUUUUUUACGCCUAAUUGAGCUUCAAAAAUCAAUAUUUUUGGGAGAGGACCUCCUACAGUUAAAGUAUAUUUUUUAACAUUUAAACAUUCUAACAUGAUUAUAUGAGUUUAUAUGCAUGUCGAAAUAAACUGUGAAAUCAAAAUCAAUAAUUUGUAUAUAUUAUGCUUGCAGUUAGAAAUGGAUGAUAAUGAUGAUUCAGACAGUGACGUUGAGAUAUCGAGGAAAAGAAAAUUAAAUAUUUUGGAAGAUGAAGAUAGUGAUGAAACUGAUGAUGAAGAUGAAG
rnacentral:lncRNA from 1 species